rnacentral:rRNA from 1 species
GAUGAACGCUGGCGGCGUGCCUAAUACAUGCAAGUCGAGCGAACGGACGAGAAGCUUGCUUUUCUGAUGUUAGCGGCGGACGGGUAAGUAACACGUGGAUAACCUACCUAUAAGACUGGGAUAACUUCGGGAAACCGGAGCUAAUACCGGAUAAUAUUUUGAACCGCAUGGUUCAAAAGUGAAAGACGGUCUUGCUGUCACUUAUAGAUGGAUCCGCGCUGCAUUAGCUAGUUGGUAAGGUAACGGCUUACCAAGGCAACGAUGCAUAGCCGACCUGAGAGGGUGAUCGGCCACACUGGAACUGAGAAACGGUCCAGACUCCUACGGGAGGCAGCAGUAGGGAAUCUUCCGCAAUGGGCGAAAGCCUGACGGAGCAACGCCGCGUGAGUGAUUAAGGUCUUCGGAUCGUAAAACUCUGUUAUUAGGGAAGAACAUAUGUGUAAGUAACUGUGCACAUCUUGACGGUACCUAAUCAGAAAGCCACGGCUAACUACGUG